rnacentral:rRNA from 1 species
UUUCCUACGGGGGGCUGCAGGCGCGAAACCUCCGCAAUGCACGAAAGUGCGACGGGGGAACCCCAAGUGCCACUCUUAACGGGGUGGCUUUUCUGAAGUGUAAAAAGCUUCAGGAAUAAGGGCUGGGCAAGACCGGUGCCAGCCGCCGCGGUAACACCGGCAGCUCAAGUGGUGGCCGUUUUUAUUGGGCCUAAAGCGUUCGUAGCCGGCCUGAUAAGUCUCUGGUGAAAUCCUGCAGCUUAACUGUGGGAAUUGCUGGAGAUACUAUUAGGCUUGAGGUCGGGAGAGGUUAGAGGUACUCCCAGGGUAGGGGUGAAAUCCUGUAAUCCUGGGAGGACCACCUGUGGCGAAGGCGUCUAACUGGAACGAACCUGACGGUGAGGAACGAAAGCCAGGGGCGCGAACCGGAUUAGAUACCCGGGUAGUCAC